CCUACGGGCGGCAGCAGUGAGGAAUAUUGGUCAAUGGACGAGAGCCUGAACCAGCCAAGUAGCGUGAAGGAUGAAUGCCCUAUGGGUUGUAAACUUCUUUUACAUGGGAAUAAAAUGUUCCACGUGUGGGGUUCUGUAUGUACCGUACGAAUAAGGGCCGGCUAACUCCGUGCCAGCAGCCGCGGUAAUACGGAGGAUCCGAGCGUUAUCCGGAUUUAUUGGGUUUAAAGGGAGCGUAGGUGGAUUGUUAAGUCAGUUGUGAAAGUCUGCGGCUCAACCGUAGAACUGCAGUUGAAACUGGCAGUCUUGAGUACACUAGAGGUUGGCGGAAUUCGUGGUGUAGCGGUGAAAUGCUUAGAUAUCACGAAGAACCCCGAUUGCGAAGGCAGCUCACUGGACUGCAACUGACGCUGAGGCUCGAAAGUGUGGGUAUCAAACAGGAUUAGAUACCCGUGUAGUC
rnacentral:rRNA from 1 species